CCUUCUAAAGCUAAAUAUUGGCCAGAGACCGAUAGCGCACAAGUAGAGUGAUCGAAAGAUGAAAAGCACCUUGAAAAGGGGGUUAAACAGUACGUGAAAUUGUUGAAAGGGAAGCGCUCAUGACCAGACUUGUGCUGGGCAGCUCAUCCGGGGUUCUCCCCGGUGCAUUCUGCCCAGUUCAGGCCAGCAUCGAUUUUUGCUGGGGGAUAAGAACGGUAGGAACGUGGCCCUCCUUCGGGAGGGUGUUAUAGCCUACCGUACGAUACCCUAGCGGAGAUCGAGGUUCGCGCAUCUGCAAGGAUGCUGGCGUAAUGGUCAUCAGCGACCCGUCUUGAAACACGGACCAAGGAGUCGUCCAUUAGAGCGAGCGUUUGGGUGUAAAACCCGCACGCGUAAUGAAAGUGAAAUUAGGUGAGAGCUUCGGCGCAUCAUCGACCGAUCCUGAUGUUCUCGGAUGGAUUUGAGUAAGAGUUUUAACGGACGGACCCGAAAGACAGUGAACUAUGCUUGUAUAGGGUGAAGCCAGAGGAAACUCUGGUGGAGGCUCGCAGCGGUUCUGACGUGCAAAUCGAUCGUCAAAUAUGAGCAUGGGGGCGAAAGACUAAUCGAACUGUCUAGUAGCUGGUUACCGCCGAAGUUUCCCUCAGGAUAGCAGUGUUGACCUUCAGUUUUAUGAGGUAAAGCGAAUGAUUAGGGACUCGGGGGCGCUUUUUAGCCUUCAUCCAUUCUCAAACUUUAAAUAUGUAAGAAGCCCUUGUUACUUAGUUGAACGUGGGCAUUCGAAUGUAUCAACACUAGUGGGCCAUUUUUGGUAAGCAGAACUGGCGAUGCGGGAUGAACCGAACGCGGGGUUAAGGCGCCAGAGUGUACGCUCAUCAGACACCACAAAAGGCGUUAGUACAUCUUGACAGCAGGACGGUGGCCAUGGAAGUCGGAAUCCGCUAAGGACUGUGUAACAACUCACCUGCCGAAUGUACUAGCCCUGAAAAUGGAUGGCGCUCAAGCGUACCGCCCAUACCCCGCCCUCAGGGUAGAA
rnacentral:rRNA from 1 species